rnacentral:rRNA from 1 species
UACAGAGGGUGCAAGCGUUGUUCGGAAUUAUUGGGCGUAAAGCGCGUGUAGGCGGCUUUGCAAGUCGGGUGUGAAAGCCCUCAGCUCAACUGAGGAAGUGCGCCCGAAACUGCAGAGCUUGAGUACCGGAGAGGAUGGCGGAAUUCCCCAAGUAGAGGUGAAAUUCGUAGAUAUGGGGAGGAACACCGGUGGCGAAGGCGGCGACCUGGGUUGAUAUUGACGCUGAGGCGCGAAAGCGUGGGGAGCAAACAGG